UAAAAUAUAUUAACAUAGAGAAUAGAUAAAGGAAAACCUAAUCGUGUGUUCCAAUCUUAACCUCUGUUUCUCUCUCUCGCCGUCGUGAAUCGCUCCGGGGUUUCCAGCCACCAGAAUGCUCCUGCAUCUUCGUGAGUCCUCCGUCUCCGUCUAUUCUCCAUCGUGAGUCCUCUCCUUCGAAUGCUCCUGCAUCUUCGUGAAUCAUCUCCGUCAAGCGCUUUGGCAACAUCGUGAAUCAUCGUUAUCGACUGUGUCACAUCCAUUCGUUCAUCUCAAUUCUAGGGUUGCUUCAGCGCGUUUUGUUACGUGGAUUAUAGUGUAAAUACUCAUUCUUCUCCCCUACUUCACUCCAUUUUAACCCUGGGUUCUUUGUUUCAGAGUUGAUAAAUAGUAGAUUCGAUGUUGAUGGUGAUGAGGUUAUCUAGACAAAACAGAGGACAGAAGGAAAAGAUGAUUGAAGACUUGAUCCAUACAUAAUCCAGUUAUGAGAUGACAAGAGUUUCAGCAAUGCAGGUUAUUUAUCAGGGAUUAGUUGUUGAUAGAUCGAUCACUUUCGUGAGUCAGGAGACUACGCUCUUCAGUUGUGAUGUUUGCUUGAUUUUUGAAGACUGUAAUAUCAGUUUUGAUAGGAACCAAGUUUGAUGAUUUCAUUCAGCUCCAUAUUGAUGCAAAUCUGGCCCUAACACAAGGGUGUAUAGGAGCCACCGCAUUAGAUGAAUAUAGGAAGCACAUCGAAAAAGAUCCCGCUUUAGAGAGGCGAUUCCAACCAGUUAAAGUGCCUGAACCAACUGUGAGUGAAACCAUACAAAUUUUGAAAGGGCUAAGAGAGCGCUAUGAGAUUCACCACAAGCUCCGUUAUACCGAUGAUGCUUGUGUAGCUGCUGCAGAGCUCUCACAUCAAUAUAUCAGGUUUGUCAUAAAAUCUAUUAAUGAUUAUACUAUAAGCACGAUAUAUUUUAUUGUUGUAAUUUCUAAUUUCUACCUCUUUUAAUUUGCACUCUUGAAUAUAAGAUCAUUGGCAGCACUGUCAUUAGCUGCGGAUUGCCUCGGUUGCAAAUGCUAUGGGAAGCUAUUUUGUUCACUAGAGAAUUUUCAGAUGAUUUCGAGUUUUUUUCUGAUGAUGUUGAGUUAUUUGACUGAUUAUUUUAGUUGAGCUAUAAUUUGGCAAUUUAUUGGUGUUUAAUUGGUUUAGUAGUGUGUUAACUUCUUCUUGAUUGGUGUAUAAAUUUGAUUGUGUACAAAGUAGAUACUUUUUUAGGUAAAGGAAUGUGACUUUUCUCCAUUUUAGCAGUGGUUUCCGAUAACAGUUCCAAUCAUGUUUGUGAUAGUUGAUGUUGUGGCAGCUUCGAUUUUGAAUGAAGUAGAUGCUUUUUUUAGAAAAAGGAAUGUGACUUUUCUCCAAUUUAGAAGUGGUUUUCGGUAACAGUUUCAAUCAUGUUUGUGAUAGUCAUAACUCUACUAACACUUGGAUCAUCAAGUAUAGAGAUUAUGAGCUGCUCAACUUCAAUCUUCAAGGCCAGAAUAUGCUGCUGCUGAUUCUCGAUUAUUCCGUGCCGUAGGUAUUGCAGUAGUAGCGUUUUUGUAUCCCUCCAACUAUACUCACUCAGGAUAUUGGUUUUCAUCAAUAGGUAUGCCUCACACUUUUGUAACACUUAUUUACUUAUGAAUUUCGAAUAUUAUGUCUAAACUUAUGCUUUGAGUCCUAAUAUUUUUAGCACAGGAAUUUAUCUGCUAGCAAAAUUUGAAGCUGUUUCCUUCCCUUCGACAAUUCACUAACAGGAAAGGAAGAAGUAUGUAUUUCCUUCCCUUUUGUUUUUGAAGUUUGAAUUGACAAACUAACAGUUCGUGUUAUUUUCUUGUAUAUCAAACUAGAGUUCAAACCGUUAUGUCAAUAUUCUUCUAAGUUUGAAUUGCAAGGUAUUUAUUAUAUUUAUGAACAAUUCGUUGUCUAAAUUUGUUCAACUAGAAGGAUAACUAAUAAAUAAUUUUUUGAUGGAGGGAUAGUUAAGACGUAGGAAUCUCACUUUUUGAUAUGGUUUGAAAGUAACAGUACUACAUGUCCAUGUCCAUGUCUUAAGAGUAUUCCUGGAUGAGAUUUGGUUUGAAAGCGUUAAAGCCAGUUUUGAAGAAAUGUUUCCAAUUUAAAUUCAAAAAAUUAUUAGAGUUCAAUAAUUAUAUAUAAACAAUAUAAAAUAAAUUAUACACUAAAAAACUAUGAAAUUUUUAAUGAGUUUAUAGUUAUGGUGUAUGGAAUUUGACUUGCAUUUUGUUUUGUAAUAGGUAAUGUGACCUUUGAGGAAGAGUGGAACAAUUUAUCUAGUAAUCAUGAAAGAGUAACAAUCAAAAAAGUAUGUCCUGUUUGUCCCAGUUGCUGAACUUUUGGGUAACAUUUCUACUGGUUUUUUUACCCUCGUUAUGAAUCUGAUAUGGGCGUGUGUUUACUUGGUUGGCCAUAUUUGGUACUGUUAUGAGAUUGUUGUGUUAUCUAUACUUGGUACUGUUAUGGGGCUGUUGUGUUAUCUAUAUUUGGUUCUACUUAGUAGAAUUUUUUGUAUCUUAGUGAGUUUUUGUGCUUGAGUCAUUUUCCUGCCAUAUGGUGGCUUGACAGAGUUGGGUUAGAUAUGAAAUGAAUGUUGGAUGAUUGUUGGAAAUGUGAGGAUCUACCGUUAUUACCGGCACUUUUCAUUUUAGUUUAAGACUUUUCUUUUCCUGGAGUUCCUUUUCUAAUUUCUAGUCUUUGGGAUGGAUUUUAAUAUAUUAUCAGCAAGGGAUCUGGUGUCCUUAGGGUGCCUAAGACAGUGGAUGUCGAGAUUAUGACAAUGAUGUUACGUAAUUAUGUCAUAUGGUGGCUUGACAGUUGGGUUAGAUAUAAAAUGAAUGUUUGAAAUGUGAGGAUAAGACUUUUCUUUUCCUGGAGUUCCUUUUCUAAUUUCUAGUCUUUGGGAUGGAUUUUAAUAUAUUAUCAGCAAAGGAUCUGGUGUUGGUAGGGUGCCUAAGGCAGUGGGUGUCGAGAUAAUGUGGCAAUGAUGUUACGCAAUUAGUUUAUGCAGUAAUAGAUAAUUGUUAAUGACCUGCAUGCAGUCCAACACCACAUGGUACACCCCUCCCUGUAAUACUGCUAGGGGAGCAAAUAUUAAUAUAGAUAAUUUUUUUUUAUUUUAAAAAUAUAUUACCUGCGGAAUUACCUGCGCAUUUUUUCCUGCGGAUUUAGCUGCGGAAUUACCUGCGGAACUUCCUGCCGAAAAUAUUACCCACGAAGGUUUUAGCUGGGGACAUAAAACCGCAGGAAAAUCCGCAGGUAACGUGUUUCCUGCGGAAAUUUAGCUAAAAUCCGCAGGUAAAUCCGCAGGAAAUUUGAGUAUUUCUAGUAGUGUGAUGUCUAUUACCAUGUAUUGGCUGUGAGUCAAUGUGUUGUAACAAAUGUAAAAAGUUAUUCGGUGAGCAUCCAUAUUUUUGUCCUAUUUAAACUAUGGUGUAGGAAUUAUUUAUUAAAAAAUUUCAUUUAGUUCGGCACGUAGGUUGAUAGAAACUUACAUAAAUAAUGAUACUAGUACUUGUGAAAAUUUUGUCAUAUUGUCUUCCAAUUUCUAACCAACACUAAUCAGAAACCCGUGCUGCCGCACGGGUAAUUGAAUUUUUUUUAUUAUGUAAAUCAUUAUAUAAAGGGUUAAAUAUACAAACCCCCCUGUAAUGUUAGCGAGAUUAGGUUUUAGCCCCUGUAAAAAAAAUUUUUUUGAUCCCCCCCUUAACAUCUUUAGAUUCCAUCCCCAGACCCCCCUAAUUGCCACGGUUGCACUUAGAUUCCCCUAAGAUUCUAUAUUAUAUCACACGUGGAAUUUUUGUCAUCUUAAUAUCCACCAUGGCAUUUCAUCAUCUUCUCAAAUUACAUUAUAUUUGUAAACGAAGAAACUAGGGUUCCUCCAUUGUUCCUCUCCUCGUAUCAUUCCUCCGUCGCUGCUUCACCGUUAAUCUCACAACAUGGGUAGCAAAUCUUCCUCCGUAGGAAACUCCGGUUGCAAAUCUCCUUCGCUGCUUCAUCGUUCCCAAGCUCCACCUCACUGUAGUUGUAACAUAACCAUGAAGAUGUGGGUAUCAAACACCAUUGAUAACCCUAAACGCAAAUUCUGGAAAUGCAGAAAUGUACUGGUAAGUUCAUUCACGUUUUUUUUAUUUGCUCUGUUUGCUGUGCGAUAAAGGUUGCUUGUAAUUUGCAGAAUGGAUGCGGUAUGUUCAUAUGGGAUGAUGAGCUGGGUGAAUUCAAUAAUGUCGAGGUGAUUCAAUGUAAAUGCACUGAAAUGACAAAAGAUGCGUUGAAAGAGAUUUUGAAGGACAUUGCCACUGACAAUUUGGAAGCAGACACAAGUAAUGAGAAGAUUUCGAGGUUGAAGAAAAAAGUUGCAAUGGAGAAGAAGAAGAACCAUAACAUGAUGGUUGCACUUGUUAUGUCUUGGAUGUUUUUUGCAGCAUUUUAUAUGUUUCUGUAAUUUAGUUUAGGGAAUGUAUGUUGUUUGUGGUAUGUAACUUUUGUAUAACUUGUAUCACUUCUAUCACUUGUAUAACUUUUGUUGUAUCACUUUUGUGGUAUGUAACAAUUUGAGCUUGAAUGGAAUGAAUGAGUCUAUUAUCAGUUUUCUAUAAAGAUUUGCAAAUAAUAUGAAGUAAUUAUGAGAUUAGAUAACAUUUGAGGAAAUUGAUCCAAAAAACAAUUACAAAUGUUAUAGGUCAUUACCCUAAAAGUCAGGUAGAUCAUUACCCAAAAAACCAUUACAAAUGGCCACAAAACAAAAUACCACCACACAAAAUAUCAUAGGACAUAGUACCAUUACUAAACCAUUACAAGUUAACUUAAUGUCAAUUGGUACAAAAUACACAAAAUAAUCAACUGCUCUUUUGUUUCUUCCAUUUCUUCAAAGACCUAGUUGACACUCCAAGGCUUGAUGAUGUCUCUGCAGGGUCUUCAAUUGUGAUUGGUUGCUCAGAUGAACCUGGACCAAUAAUUGGUUUCUUGAACCAACUUAAUUUGACUCUUUCAC